rnacentral:misc_RNA from 1 species
AACUUUUGGCAAUGGAUCACUUGGCUCUCGCAUCGAUGAAGAACGCAGCGAAAUGCGAUAAGCAAUGUGAAUUGCUGAAUUCAGUGAAUCAUCGAAUCUUUGAACGCAUCUUACGCUCCAUGGUAUUCCGUGGAGCAUGCCUGUUUGCGCGGCACUCAAGUUCUCAACCACAACUGUAUUCUUUUUUCUGUUGCGGCUUGGAUUGGUGGGGGAUUUGCUGGCUUUCACAAGUCUGCUCCCCUGAAAUGCAUUAGUGGUAUGAGCUACUACGUGGUGUGACAAAUUUAUCUAUGCCCUGCUAGUGUGCAGCUGUAUACUGCUUCUAACAAAAACCUUAUUUGUUUGAUGAAUUUGACCUCAAAUCAGGUAGGACUACCCGCUGAACUUAAGCAUAUCAAUAAGCGGAGGCU